ensembl:miRNA
GCUCUUCCUCUCUAAUCCUUUGUCCCUGGGUAAGAGUGCUUUCUGAAUACAAUGCACCCAGGGAAGGAUUCUGCAAGGGGGAG